GCCUCAGAAUGUAAACUGGUCACUUGGGAGGCUCAUUGAUGGAGAAGGAAGAAUUUUUACACCAAAAGGUUCAGAAGUCCUUUCUAACAUUUCUACAGGCUACAUCUAUACUCAUCUUGGAGCCACUUCUCCUCUCACUGAAGUCAAUAGAGUCACAGUGGCAUACAAUUGGGGUUGAAAUAUUAUUAACUAUUUCAGAUGGAGAAUACCAUGUAAGAACAUGUAGAAAAUAAAUUAAGAAGAGAGGAUCGCUUUAAUGUAAAAAUGGCCUGAUAAAAUAGCGUAUUAAUGGAUUUGUGCACCAAUCAAAAGGAGCUCAGUCCUGCAGAGCGCUGAGCACGUGGUACUUGAUCCAAUCAAACACCUAAAUCACAUGCUUCACUUCAAGCAAGUAUGCAGUCCCAUCGAAAUGGGUGACAGUGUCACCUGUGGCUGGGUAAAAGAUGCAGGUGUCGUCCUGUUAGGGAUAUAUGUAUGAUGGCAGAUGUAUGUAGUUUGUAUCCACUUGUUUAAUAUUACAAAGAGAUAAUAUUUAUUG